AUAAAUAGCAUGUAUUGUACAGCUAAGGUGUUCUGGUCACACUGUAUGGAUAUUAAUGUUGAUGUAGUACUAAGUGAUAACAGUUCAAACCUGCUAGAAACUGGGGUGAAUCAGGGGGCUGCAUGAUCCAAGCUGGGUAACUAUCUACAGCACGGUUUACUGAAGUUAGAGUUAUUGAGAGUGUUCCAUUUUAUUCCAUUGAGUUUUAAAGCUAAAAAUCAGGAUCUACAUUCUCUAGACUUAAUAGAAAGUGCUGUUUUGGUAAUGGUAGCCUAGGUAACUUAAAUGGCAACCCUGUAAUCAAUUUUUAUUUGUUUUAAAAGAAUAUGAAUACCCUGUUUUAGUAAUUCCUCUUUCACACAUGCAUCCUGAAUUCUGCUCUGGUCCCAAUCAACACCCACAGGAUGGCUUAAAGACAGAUUCUUAGUGAUGCAUUAGAUUUUAUAUUAUUGUUCCUAAAGCAAAAUUGGUAGCAGCAGUUCAAAGUUUUACAAAACCAUAGAUUGUAAGUUAGCAAAAUUCUGUUAAUGCAACUCUUUCAGUCACGGUUCCACAAUCGCAGAAUUUGACUUAAUAUCACCAGAUCCCUCUGUUGAUGUUUUUUUGUUUGUUGUUUUUUUUUUUUUGCAAUAAUACAUAAUUGAGUUUAUUGAAAAUUUUAAACAAGAAAAAAACAGUUAAAAAAAACCUACAGGGGGCAUAAUUUUUUCUACUACACUGCUGCCUCAACCUUCGUAGAUGUCAAGUAGUAGCAGGAUUUCUGCAGGCUGCACAAACUCAAAUUUAAGACCUUUUUAAGACUGUUGUCGGAGGAAUUUAAGACAAAUAUCGCCACAGAAAUGCAGGAAUGUCGUCCAGCCAAGUGGUGAUAAAUUUCCACAUACCCAUGAUGGAUGU